rnacentral:tRNA from 1 species
AUUAAAAUAGCUCAAUAAUUAGAGUAUUGCAUUGAAGCUGCAAAGGUGAUAGUAAUCUUUUAAUA